GGGUAACCUGCCCUUGAAGUAGGGGAUAACACUUGGAAACAGGUGCUAAUACCGUAUAACAACCAAAACCACCUGGUUUUGGUUUAAAAGACGGCUUCGGCUGUCACUUUAGGAUGGACCCGCGGCGCAUUAGCUUGUUGGUAAGGUAACGGCUUACCAAGGCGAUGAUACGUAGCCGACCUGAGAGGGUAAUCGGCCACAUUGGGACUGAGACACGGCCCAAACUCCUACGGGAGGCAGCAGUAGGGAAUCUUCCACAAUGGACGAAAGUCUGAUGGAGCAACGCCGCGUGAGUGAUGAAGGGUUUCGGCUCGUAAAACUCUGUUGUUGGAGAAGAACAGGUGUCAGAGUAACUGUUGACAUCUUGACGGUAUCCAACCAGAAAGCCACGGUUAACUACGUGCCAGCAGCCGCGGUAAUACGUAGGUGGCAAGCGUUGUCCGGAUUUAUUGGGCGUAAAGCGAGCGCAGGCGGUUUUUUAGGUCUGAUGUGAAAGCCUUCGGCUUAACCGGAGAAGUGCAUCGGAAACCGGGAGACUUGAGUGCAGGAGAGGACAGUGGAACUCCAUGUGUAGCGGUGAAAUGCGUAGAUAUAUGGAAGAACACCAGUGGC
rnacentral:rRNA from 1 species